GCCAGUUGUGAGCUUAUUGUUUCCUAGCUUCUCUCAAUCCAUACAUAACUGCGACUCUCUUUGUGCCCUCAGAAUUCCAACCUGCUUGUUGCUCUUCCAAUAGCAUGGGGUCUGUACAGCUAUUCUGGUACAGGUCUAAGAGUAGCUUUUCAUUUACCUCCAUUAAUGAUUUCUUCCUUUUGGCCCAGAGAAGUCCACAAAGCACCUUCCAAAGCCCCUUCCAAGUGCCUUUCAAUCACAUUCAUAAAUGAUUUGGGGAUUAUCUACCGCCUUGAAUUAUUUAGGCCAUUGCUUCCCCUCCAUUAAAGUGACUCAACUUGGACUCAGUGAAAUUUAAUAUAUUCAAAUGAAGACAAAAAUGUAUUCAGAGAGUUAUAUUCAAAUGAAUAUAGCCUUCCAACUUAUAUACACACAGACCUGCCAUUUCCUUGUGGAGUAAAGGGGGCUGUCUGUCCCAUCUCUUCUUUGAAGAUAGCAACAGUUAUUCAAUUGAGAUCUCUAAUGAGGAUUGGGGAAUCCUUACCUGCGGCUACCUGCACUGCCAUCCCCUCAACUUCCCUCUUUUAUACACACCCCCUUCUCAUUCCCUUCCUGGGACCACCUAAAACAGGCUUGGGAAUUAAGAAAGCAUUGGGAUUCCAGGCCCUCCAACUCCCCAUACUAGGGUAAAAAUUGAAGUCAUUCAGGAUGCAGAAAUAAUCCAAGUAUUUCUCAGAUUUUCAGGAAGGUGAUACAGUCCAGAGCAAAGAUUAUUCUAACUCAGAACACAUGAGAGUGGAUGCUAAGUUGAUUCAUUGCCCAGAGCUCUGCAGAAGUGAAGUUCCAGCCAUCUGUUUGAGUGAAGAAGAUACUGCCUGGAGGCAGAGGAUACACAGCCUUAGAGGGCCUCAAUUGCCCCUUUCGUGAGCUUCUACAUUCCUAGCAUCUGUGUUGUGGUGCAUACAUGUCCCUGCACAACAUCUAUUUUUCCAACUCCUUCAUCUCCACUUUUUUUUUUUUUUUUUUUUUUUUUGGAGACAGGAUCUUGCUUUUGUCGCCCAGGCCAAGGGCAGUGGCGCCAUCAUAGAUAAGUGUAACCUCAAACUCCUGGACUCAAGCGAUCCUUCUGCCUCAGCUUCCCAAAGUGCUGGGAUUACAGGCUUGAGCCCCCA
rnacentral:lncRNA from 1 species